GAGAAUCCUCUCUCCCAGAUAAUGACACUCUCAGACAAGAGUCCAAGUUGUUUGAAAGGCUAUUUCUUGGCCAGAAGACUCUC
rnacentral:pre_miRNA from 15 species